GACGACGGCGGAAAGCGUUAUGGAAAUGGGCUCAGAGCCGCUGUAGCCUCCGCGGACUCCACAUUCCAACCUCGCAAGCAUCGGCAUUUGGCCCACUUCUUAACGUGAGACAGUCCCUUUAACCAUCCGCAACCAUGUCCGACGAAGAGGAAUACUCUGAGGAGGAGGAAGAGACCCAAGUUGAUACG